UACGAAGGGGGCUAGCGUUGUUCGGAUUUACUGGGCGUAAAGCGCACGUAGGCGGAUCGUUAAGUCAGGGGUGAAAUCCUGGAGCUCAACUCCAGAACUGCCUUUGAUACUGAGGAGCUUGAGUCCGGGAGAGGUGAGUGGAACUGCGAGUGUAGAGGUGAAAUUCGUAGAUAUUCGCAAGAACACCAGUGGCGAAGGCGGCUCACUGGCCCGGUACUGACGCUGAGGUGCGAAAGCGUGGGGAGCAAACAGG
rnacentral:rRNA from 1 species